AGUUAACAGAGAUAUGGCAUGAGCAUAUAUUGGAAAAAUGAUUCACAUAACAAUAGAAAAAUUAAGUGAGACCAGGAUUGGGUGGCUUUGAUGAAUGUAAUUUCGACUUGAACAUGAAGAUGCUUGUAGAACAGUGUUCCUUCCUCUGAGCAUGGCUAUAGAAGAACAAAUCAGUUAGUCUGAAGAUGAAAACAAGAAGCUGAUGGAAGACACAUUCUGAACUGGCUAACACAACACUCUGAAACUGGAGGAUAUCAACUGAUAAGGUUCUCUAAUGUAAAUCAACGGCAUUGAAGACCACAAUUAAUGCCUCCCUGUAUCCAUAUCCUUUGCAAAGUGACCUUGCAGAUUCUUCCAU